GGCAGAGUGGCCGAGUGGUUAAGGCGAUGGUCUUGAAUCGUGGGUUCCCAUGAUAAAGCCAACCAUUACGUUCGCGUGCGUAGGUUCGAAUCCUGCCUCUGUCG
rnacentral:tRNA from 1 species